rnacentral:lncRNA from 1 species
AUGUACUAUACUGUAUAGGAUAUAUUAUUUUUAUAUAUAAUCUACUAAAAGCAGUUAAACAAAUUAAAGAAAUUUUUUAAAGUUACCUAUUAAAACUAACUAAAAAGAAAUCACUAACUUAUUGUCAAUCCUCUCUGAUAUCUCCUAUUACUUUUGAAACCCAAGAUCAAACUUUGGCUUCAAAUUACUAGGAACUCUACCACAACCUUGGCUAUUGAAAUAAUUGUAGUUGUUUUUCUUUUGCUAUCUUAGAUUCAGGUGCAAAUCAUUAGCUUUUCUAACCAACAUGCUGGUGAAACUACAUCCAAACCCACAAAUGUAAAAAAUGUGGACACAGAAGCAGGACUCAUCAGUGUAAGAGUUCUGGGUGAGUUGCUUUGUGGGAGUCCAGACGGCUCCUGAGCUGCUCUCUGGAUAAUUUCUCUAAGUGAAAUAAAAUGAUAAGGCAGACAUUUAAAUGACAACAAGCAAAGCCUCGGUCUGAUGUACCAAAAGUGGAACAUUCUGUGAACUUUUUCUGUUCCCGCUGUGUAUGAGCACUGACUAUCUUUCUCAGGCAGACACGGAAGCAUAUAGAGGACUUAGAAAUUCCAUUAGUUUCACAGUCUACUGCCAAUAAAUUUAAUAAGAAAUGGAAGCAAGGUUAUUUAUCUGUUUUACAGCAUUCUCAAGACUGUACAGAAACUCCUAGAAGAGUUUAGAUCAUUAAAAUGACGAGCAAUAACAGCAGAGAAGGGAGUUCCUCCAAGGUCAAGGAGAAAUAGGGCAGCAGAAGUAGACUGAAGAGACUAGGGAAAGAGUCCCAUCAGUGGCCAUCCUCCAGGGAGACGGCUGGCGUCAGAGAGGAUAGCUGUAAGACAUACCUGGAGAAACCAGAAGCUAGGUCCAUCUGGAAGAGUUGAAGAUUCCCAUGCCUCAUAUUUAAAAGUGCAACAGAACCAAGUGUGGAAUCUCAGGUCCCACUCCAGACCCACUAAAUCAGAAUGUGCCUUCCCACGUGAUCUGUCAACAUGCUAACGUUGGAGAAAGACUGCUGUUGGAAAUGUUCAGGAACUGUGAGAUGGUUGGUAGGUGGAGAAGUUCUUUGGGGAUCAGACAACUGAGAGCCGAAACUAGUCUGCUUGGAAAGAAUCAUCAGUCGAGUAGUGAGACGUCGUAGAUGACUCAACAAGGUUUUGAAGGGGAAUCUUAAAAAAGAAGAAGAAGCCGGCAGUUAGGGAAACUGAGUAAGAGGCUGAAUGGAAGAACCAAGCAUAAAUGCUGUUGGCUUAUUCACGCUGGUGGAAUCUGUUGCCUAAGGAGAGAUCGAGUUAAUCUAGGAGUGAAAGGCUGAACCCAGAAUGAUGAGGAAUUUUGCCUAAACCAAGGCUGAAAGUUUCCUGGAUAUUUAAGUGAGGAGUUUCAACAAGGUGUAGGCCUGGAGAAGGAAGAAGUGACCAGAUGAUGGUGCUUAGCUUGAGAACCCAGCUCAUUUGGUCUUCCCUUUCGUGCUGAGAACCCCUCUCAUUGGGCUGGAGUUAUUUGAACCCUCCCUAGACCGACUACCUCUAAACAAAAACAAGAUAGACUGGAGUACAACUUUCAGGAACAUAGUCUUCACUGCAAAUUCUCUAUCCUCCCCGGUGAAUGCAGGAGACAGUUACUCCCAGCGAGACAAAGAGUGGUGGCAACUGGGCUGGCAGGAGGCCCCUUUGGAGACUUUGCUGACAGGAACUCCCCUCUGUGACAGAUAUGCAUGGCAGUCAUCUUGGGUCUUCAUCGAGCUACUCUUGCCCACAGCCCUCCCUUUUUGCCCCAACCUCUGCACCAUUGUACCAUACAGUCAAGCCUCCGGAAUCUGCCUUAGCUCCCCCCCACCCCCACAGCGGUAUUCUUCCAUCCUCAUUUUCAAACGUUUGGUCCCAUCAGUAUUACCAGGGAAUUUUAUUAUAAAAUGUUGAUCCUGCCCUCCCACCCUCAGGGCCCUGAGGGAUUCUGAUAGUGGAAGUUGAGAGUGGGAUCCAGAAAAUAUAGUAGUUACAAGCACUAGAAAGUGAUUCUAAAGCAGAUGUUCCCAGGCCAGAUUUUCAGAAGCAUUGCUCAACACUUUCUUCUACUUCACGGCUCAGGAUUCUACCAACGGGGGUGGUGGAGGCAGCGCUGAUGCACAGACCAUCAGAUAGGUGCGGGAUCCGUGGCAGCAUCCAUUCCCUCUGCUCCCCUCCCCUUUGCAACCUCAGUUUUCCGGGCUGUAUUUC